rnacentral:rRNA from 1 species
CCUACGGGCGGCAGCAGUAGGGAAUAUUGCUCAAUGGGGGAAACCCUGAAGCAGCAACGCCGCGUGGAGGAUGAAGGUUUUCGGAUUGUAAACCCCUUUUGUUAGAGAAGAUAAUGACGGUAUCUAACGAAUAAGCACCGGCUAACUCCGUACCAGCAGCCGCGGUAAUACGGAGGGUGCAAGCGUUACUCGGAAUCACUGGGCGUAAAGAGCGCGUAGGCGGGAUAGCAAGUCAGAUGUGAAAUCCUAGGGCUUAACCAUAGAAGUGCAUUUGAAACUGUGAUUCUAGAGUAUGGGAGAGGUAGGUGGAAUUCUUGGUGUAGGGGUAAAAUCCGUAGAGAUCAAGAGGAAUACUCAUUGCGAAGGCGACAUACUAGAGCAUAACUGACGCUGAUGCGCGAAAGCGUGGGGAGCAAACAGGAUUAGAUACCCGAGUAGUC